UAUAUACCAAGAGAGAGUCCAUUGUCCAUACACUAAACCAUACUGCAUAUUCCAAUUAUCCGAGAGGCUUUUUUCUUUAGUUUAUGGUCUGGCUUUAAUUCUCCUAUGGCCAAUCAAAUUGUCCCUUCUUUACUAAAAGUUAAAACUCAGCGGAAGUUAACUGUUCAUUAACAGUGUUGCUGAGCAAAUUUUUUUGGUCUUCUGGAUUGUGCAGUGAUUUGGCAACUCUGCCCCUCUCUUUCGUGGUUGGCUCUUCGUCGUUCUUCACACCGAAGUCGCUGGAAGGGUUUGCAAUUGCCAUCGUUUUUUCUGCUUAUUUCUUUCCGUCUCUCUCUUCAAUCCGAUCUCAUCGCUUAGAAAUUUGGUUGUUCUGUUUGUUUCUGCCGUCUUCUGCAAACGAAUCGCGUCGUUUUAGAUGCGAUUCUUCAUCUGUUAUUUUACUUUUUGUUUGGUUAUCAAGAAAAUUUUCAAAUUCAUUUUUGUUAGAUUCAAGUCUUGGUCUUUCGCGUUGACUGAUUUCUUAUUUUUGGGCCGAUUACGUUGUUUAUUUCAGGAAAGAUUGGUCUUGCAAUUUUAGGGUUUUUGCUGCCGCGUGUUUGCAGGCCCUUUUCCAAUUAAGAUCUUCAUCUGUUCCUUCCAUUUACACAAGCUCUUAGCCGUUGGUCUGAUUCCGCGUCCCGUACAUAAAGCAUUCAACUUUCCAGAUUAAUAUCAGCGUAAAAAAAAAAAAAUUCUGCGAAUUUGGAUUCCAAUUCUUCUGCACCUCAUCUAUCAAACUGAUUGGUCAUUCUAUAUAUUUGAAACUGCUUGGUAGGUAGGGAGAAAAGCAUGAGGACUAACAUGACAAAGAGAGAGUCCACAUUCACAUUGAAGGUGGAGGAAACUGCUGAUUCCUACAUAGCAAGAUAAGUAUGCAUAGCAAGAGCGAAGUCUUGACACGAAUACCAGUCCAGAAUCCACAAUCAAUCCUUUGAAAGGUUCUUUAGUUUACCUGGAUUUCUCCAAUGAAUAAUCAACUUGUCCCCUGCUCCUCUUCCUCUUCUUCUACCUUUUGUAUCGAUAGUACUCCUUCGUGGAGAUAUGAUGUCUUUUUGAGCUUUAGAGGAGAGGAUACACGCACCACUUUUACAGAUCAUUUAUACAAGGCGUUGGUCGACAAGGGAAUCCACACCUUCAUUGAUCGCCAACUUGUAAGAGGAGAAGAAAUAUCACCAGCGCUCCUCCAAGCAAUUGAAGAGUCAAGAAUUUCUCUCGUCAUAUUCUCUAAAACCUAUGCAGCUUCAAGGUGGUGCUUGGACGAGCUCGUCAAGAUUCUUCAAUGUAGACAGUCAAAGCAACAAAUAGUUUUGCCAGUUUUUUAUAAGGUGGAUCCGUCCCAUGUACGAAAUCAAACGAGUAGUUUCGGUGACGAGUUCAAAAAACUUGAGUGCAAAUUCGAGGACAAUAAGGAGAAGAUCCUCGCAUGGAGGAGUGCUCUUAGAGAAGCAGCAAAUUUGUCAGGACAUCCUCUCAAGGAAGGAGACUAUGAAGCUACGUUAAUCGGCAACAUUGUUGAGGAUAUCUUACUCAAAGUACUUGAUGGCACAUAUUUGGAUGUGGCCAAAUACCCGGUUGGAAUACAAUCUUGCGUACAAGAGGUGAAAUAUCUUUUAGGUGCUGAUGGAAAUGGUCGUCGUGUGGUUGGGAUUUGGGGGACAUCUGGAAUAGGCAAGACAACAAUUGCAAGAGCGGUUUAUAAUGCAAUUGCUCGCAAGUUUCAAGUUUGUUGUUUCCUGGCAGAUGUUAGAGAAACAUUGACAUCACUUGAAGGCCUAAUCCAACUACAAAAGACUUUUCUAUCUAAAAUUCUACGUGGCACAAAGUUGGAAAUUGUCGGUGUUCAUGAUCGAAUCGGACUUAUAAAGAAACUGUCGAGGCAAAUGAAGAUUCUCUUAAUUCUUGAUGAUGUGGAUCAAUUGGAGGAGCAGAUAAAAAACUGGGUUGAUGUCGAUUGUUUCGGUGAGGGUAGCAGGGUGAUCAUAACCACAAAAGAUAGAAGUUUGCUAGAUUUUUAUGGAGGCCAGUGGAUAUAUGAAGUCAAAAUGUUAGAAGACGACAAAGCACUUGAGCUUUUUAGUUUGAAUGCUUUCGAAAGAAAUAGACCUCCAGAUGAUUAUAUGAGCCUCGCACGACGUGCAAUAGCCUAUGCUCAAGGCCUUCCGUUGGCUCUUAAUAUUAUAGGUACUCAUUUGCGUAAUAAACGUAUAGAUCGUUGGCAAGAUAUAUUGGAUGGUUACGUUUCUUACCAUGGAGAACCUUAUACAAUUAUUGAAAAAAUACUUCGAAAAACUUAUAAUGCAUGGGAUUUUGGCCUGCAACAAGUUUUCCUAGACAUUGCAUGUUUCUUUAAGGGUGAAGAUAAAGACUACGUGUUACAAAUAUUGAGAAGUUCGACGCUCAAUGUACGUGAAGAUUGUAUUGAAGUACUCGUUGAGAAAGCCAUUAUAACUAUUGAACAUGAUCGGAUUUUGAUGCAUGACUUGCUACAAAAAAUGGGUAAGCAAAUAGUUUACGAAGAAUCUCCCACUGAACCAGGCAAGCGGAGCAGGCUGUGGUUUUAUGAAGAUGUGUACAAUGUUCUAACUGAAAACCAAGGAACAGAGAAAAUUAGACGUAUUGUGGUGGAGUCGCUCAAAUCAGAUGUGAAUGUGAUACCCUUGAAUCCAGAAAGCUUCUUGGGGAUGGUAAAACUUGAAAUUUUUAUAAACCGUAAUGCACAAUUUUCUGGACGCGUUGAUUAUUUGCCCAACAGUUUAAGGUGGAUUGACUUGGGUGAACCAUUCAUUAAACAUACGGUUGUGCUCAAUUUGUCAUCCAAUUUUCAUCCAAGAAAUCUUGUUUGUUUUGAUGUGCCACACUGUGGCAUAAGACAACUGAAGGAAUUUAAGGAUUUUGCAAAGCUUACACUGAUGAAUUUAAGUGGUUGCGAAUUUUUGGAAAAAAUUCCUGACUUAUCCGGAAGCACAAACAUAAGGAAGUUGGAUCUAAGUGGCUGCACAAGUUUGGUCGAGGUUGAUGAUUCAGUUGGAUUCCUCGAUAAACUUGAAGAAUUGAGUCUUAGUGGGUGCUCUAAGCUUACGAGGUUUGCAACAAGACUUGGAUUGAGAUCCCUUCAAGAGCUUGAUCUCGAAGGUUGCACAAGGCUGGAGAGAUUUCCAGAAAUAGAGAAGGACAAGAUGAAAUCUCUGACGUAUUUGAAUAUAGGAAAAAGUGGCAUAAGAGAAUUGCCUUCAUCAAUUGCGUAUCUUGUUGGGCUUACGUACUUGAAGGCACAUGGUUGUGAGUUGCAAAAUGUCCCCGAGUUAUCCGGAAGCAUAGAGUACUUGGAUCUUAGUGGGUGCUCUAAGCUUACGAGGUUUGCAACAAGACUUGGAUUGAGAUCCCUUAUAGAGCUUGAUCUUUCUGGUUGCACAAGUUUGGAGAGAUUUCCAGAAAUAGAGAAGGACAAGAUGAAAUCUCUGUCGUAUUUGGAGAUGGGAAAAACUGGCAUAACAGAAUUGCCUUCAUCAAUUGCGUAUCUUACUGGGCUUAUAGACUUGAAUGCAAAUGGUUGUGAGUUGCAAAAUGUCCCCGACUUAUCCGGAUGCCCAAACAUAGAGCACUGGGAUCUAAGUGACUGCACAAGUUUGGUCGAGGUUCAUGAUUCAGUUGGAUUCCUUGAUAAACUUCAAAAUUCUCUCCCUCUCGGAGGUUGCAGAAGGCUCGAGAGUUUCCCAGAAAUAGAGGGAAAGAAGGCUCGGAGGUUACAGCUGUCUCUUAAUCUUUCCGGAUGCAAAUUAUCAGAAAGUGAUUUCCUUGUGCCUCUUGAUUGCUGGUCCGAAUUAAGAGAACUUAAUCUGUCGAGAAACAAUUUUGUUAGCCUUCCGGAUUGUAUUAGCGAAGCUGUCAACUUGAAGACAUUUGACUUGAGGGAUUGCAAGACGCUUCGGGAAAUUCCAGUCCUUCCACCAAAACUAGAAUCGUUACAUCUGGAUGAUUGCACAUCAUUGGAGAAAAUUCCAAAACUGCCCCCGAGGCUUAGGCUUCUUGACCUGUCUAACUGCUCUAGACUAAGUGGUGAUGAGGUGGCAAAGUUGUUAGCGGCAAAGUUGGAAAACGAGUGGUUGAAUGAGGAAAUUGGUCCGCGCUCUCAAUUGAACAUUAUUUACCCAGGAAAUGAAAUUCCAAAGUGGUUCAGCUAUACCUCUAACCAUCCCACAACCAUUCAACCUCCACUAAAACAUCCACGGGAUGUAUAUGACAGUGAAUUUCGUUUUGAAAUUCCUCUAAAAUUACAAGUGGGGGAGACGUUAACUGGAUUGUUGGCUGUAUCUUUUGUUCUUGAACCAUCGACUACCCCAAUGCUUUUUAUCAUCAUUUUAAGGAGCUAAAGGCAACUCAUGUGAUUGUUACGACAUUGAGUUUAUGGAAGAAGGAGAUGCAGGGAGAUAUUUGUCAAGUUGGAAUUCGUAUGUGCAAAGAGCGUCCCAUUAAACGCUGCGGCGUGCACUCCCUAUUGCGCAACCAAAACAGUGGAUCCUCACCUUCGGAGGAUGAGGAGGAUGAGGAGCAAGAGCAAGAGCAACCGUCCGACUCAAAUGUUCCUUUUGAUAUUGAGGAGGAUGAGGAGCAGCUUCACUUGCCUCUGAGACCACCGAGCAGUCUUGGGAAGAGGCCUCGUCCACGUGGAUCCUCAGAUAUCGUCGAUGAUGCAUAUGAUCAGCAACAGCAAUGGCUUUCCUCAUCUUCGGAGCCAGCAGAUGAUCAUCCAAAACGCAGACAGAUUGAUCUCAAUGUUCCUUUUGAUAUUGAGGAGGAUGAGAAGCAAGCAACCGACUGCUUCAGAUGAUCCGCAAUUUCUGAUUUCUUAGGAGUUUGGAACCGUGAUGGCUUUGUUAGGGGGGAAGGAGCUGGCGUUUUGCCUCUGGAAGAGUUAGAACAUGCUAAGUUGAGAGUGAACUCUACAAAAUCCAUGAUUGGUCACCUACUGGGAGCCUCUGGUGCUGUAGAAGCUGUUGCAGCAGUACAGUUCUUGACAUGUUAACUGGGCGGAUGCAUCCAAAUAUCAAUCUGGAAAAUCCAGAUGAGGGCGUGGAUACAAACUACUAGUGGGCCCAAAGAAAGAGAGACUGGACGUUAAGGUGGCAUUGUCUAACUCAUUUGGGUUCGGUGGCCACAACUCAUCGGUCUUGUUUGCCCCAUACAAGUAGAAACACAGAUCUACUGUGCUACUCCAACCUUUGCUGCAAUCGUACUGAAGGUAUGUUUGCGUACAGCCACCCUUUUGUUAGAACUUAAAAGGAAUCGUACUCAUCGGUCAUUGAAUCACUGCUACGGCAAUAGUUGCCUUGUUUGAUUUUGGUUUUCUUGUACAAGUAAUUGGCUGAUCAGAUAAUUGUAAUGAAAUUUAGUCCGCAGUUGGAUGACUUUACGUUCUUUGAGUUCCGACCUACUUGUAACUUCUUUCCAAAUUUUAAUUUUCAUAGAUAACUCUCAGUCAGGGAAACAGAAAUCCCCUUUGCUACA